GGGCCCGUAGCUCAGCCAGGCAGAGCGCCGGGCUCCAGACCCCUUAGCUCCGGCCCAUAGGCGCCGGGUCUGUCGAGCCCACGGAUGAGAGGGAGAGACCCGGAGGUCGGGGGUUCAAAUCCCCCCGGGCCCA
rnacentral:tRNA from 1 species